UACGGGAGGCAGCAGUGGGGAAUCUUGCACAAUGGAGGAAACUCUGAUGCAGCGAUGCCGCGUGAGUGAAGAAGGCCUUUGGGUUGUAAAGCUCUUUCGUCGGGGGAGAAAAUGACUGUACCCGAAUAAGAAGGUCCGGCUAACUUCGUGCCAGCAGCCGCGGUAAU
rnacentral:rRNA from 1 species